UAGGGCGACCAGUUGUCCCGGUUGGCCUGCGACUGAGGUGUUUUGCCAACUAGGACAGUCCCAGGCAAGCCGGAGAGUUGGUCACCCUAAAUCUGG
rnacentral:pre_miRNA from 10 species